ACCUGGGUGGCUCAGUCGGUUAAGCAUCCGACUUUGGCUCGGGUCAUGAUCUCACGGCCCAUGGGUUCGAGCCCCGUGUCAGGUU
rfam:Felis catus isolate Cinnamon breed Abyssinian chromosome A1, whole genome shotgun sequence.